UACGUAGGGGGCGAGCGUUGUCCGGAAUCAUUGGGCGUAAAGAGCGUGUAGGCGGUCCGGUAAGUCCGCUGUGAAAGCCAGGGGCUCAACCCUUGGAUGCCGGUGGAUACUGUCGGGCUUGAGUACGGAAGAGGCGAGUGGAAUUCCUGGUGUAGCGGUGAAAUGCGCAGAUAUCAGGAGGAACACCAAUUGCGAAGGCAGCUCGCUGGGACGUUACUGACGCUGAGACGCGAAAGCGUGGGGAGCAAACAGG
rnacentral:rRNA from 1 species